rnacentral:rRNA from 1 species
UACGAAGGGGGCUAGCGUUGCUCGGAAUCACUGGGCGUAAAGGGUGCGUAGGCGGGUCUUUUAAGUCAGGGGUGAAAUCCUGGAGCUCAACUCCAGAACUGCCUUUGAUACUGAGGAUCUUGAGUCCGGGAGAGGUGAGUGGAACUGCGAGUGUAGAGGUGAAAUUCGUAGAUAUUCGCAAGAACACCAGUGGCGAAGGCGGCUUACUGGUCCGGUUCUGACGCUGAGGCGCGAAAGCGUGGGGAGCAAACAGG